GUCUCUCUCGCUGGCUUUUUAAAAAUGAGGAACCGCUCCUUGAAUGUUCUGGACAGAGCGCAGAAUUGCUUCUUAAGUCAGCCCGGCGCGGUUGCAAUAGACAGCAAAAAGGUAAACGUUUGCCUGAAAUCCGCACGCCAGCUCCACCACCCCGCCCGAUGGUCCCAGUUCCUCUGGGAAUCAUCCUGUAUGCAACAUCUUCACAAGAGUGGCAGGCAGUUGAAUCUCUGGCCUUCGUGGGACCACUGGACAUCUGGCAGAGAACCAGGAAACCACGGUUCCCUUCUGUGAGUCCCUCAGCCGGAAAACUACAAGCUCCUCAUGCAGCUGCUGUCUGCAGACCCCCUGGACUGCCUGGGGAAGUGAGUCGGAGCUCCUGCAGCAGAGGGGUGGAACAGCUACACGAAGAUCCGAAGGUGGCCAAAAAUAACAGCGCUUUCCAGAUGAGGGAGCAAGUUGUCCAGCACAGUGUCAUGGGACAGUGGGCCCUGGUGCCACAAUGCCUGGCAUCUCCA
rnacentral:antisense_RNA from 1 species